GUGGGGAAUUUUGGACAAUGGGGGCAACCCUGAUCCAGCCAUGCCGCGUGCGGGAAGAAGGCCUUCGGGUUGUAAACCGCUUUUGUCAGGGAAGAAAUCCUUUGGGUUAAUACCUCGGAGGGAUGACGGUACCUGAAGAAUAAGCACCGGCUAACUACGUGCCAGCAGCCGCGGUAAUACGUAGGGUGCGAGCGUUAAUCGGAAUUACUGGGCGUAAAGCGUGCGCAGGCGGUUUUGUAGGAUCGAUGUGAAAUCCCCGGGCUCAACCUGGGAACUGCAUUGGUGACUGCAUUGCUGGAGUGCGGCAGAGGGGGAUGGAAUUCCGCGUGUAGCAGUGAAAUGCGUAGAUAUGCGGAGGAACACCGAUGGCGAAGGCAAUCCCCUGGGCCUGCACUGACGCUCAUGCACGAAAGCGUGGGGAGCAAACAGGAUUAGAAACCCCUGUAGUCC
rnacentral:rRNA from 1 species